rnacentral:rRNA from 1 species
ACCUUCGGGCCUCUUGCCAUCAGAUGUGCCCAGAUGGGAUUAGCUUGUUGGUGAGGUAACGGCUCACCAAGGCGACGAUCCCUAGCUGGUCUGAGAGGAUGACCAGCCACACUGGAACUGAGACACGGUCCAGACUCCUACGGGAGGCAGCAGUGGGGAAUAUUGCACAAUGGGCGCAAGCCUGAUGCAGCCAUGCCGCGUGUAUGAAGAAGGCCUUCGGGUUGUAAAGUACUUUCAGCGGGGAGGAAGGGGAUAAGGCUAAUAACCUUGUUCAUUGACGUUACCCGCAGAAGAAGCACCGGCUAACUCCGUGCCAGCAGCCGCGGUAAUACGGAGGGUGCAAGCGUUAAUCGGAAUUACUGGGCGUAAAGCGCACGCAGGCGGUCUGUCAAGUCGGAUGUGAAAUCCCCGGGCUCAACCUGGGAACUGCAUUCGAAACUGGCAGGCUUGAGUCUUGUAGAGGGGGGUAGAAUUCCAGGUGUAGCGGUGAAAUGCGUAGAGAUCUGGAGGAAUACCGGUGGCGAAGGCGGCCCCCUGGACAAAGACUGACGCUCAGGUGCGAAAGCGUGGGGAGCAAACAGGAUUAGAUACCCUGGUAGUCCACGCCGUAAACGAUGUCUACUUGGAGGUUGUGCCCUUGAGGCGUGGCUUCCGGAGCUAACGCGUUAAGUAGACCGCCUGGGGAGUACGGCCGCAAGGUUAAAACUCAAAUGAAUUGACGGGGGCCCGCACAAGCGGUGGAGCAUGUGGUUUAAUUCGAUGCAACGCGAAGAACCUUACCUGGUCUUGACAUCCACAGAACUUUCCAGAGAUGGAUUGGUGCCUUCGGGAACUGUGAGACAGGUGCUGCAUGGCUGUCGUCAGCUCGUGUUGUGAAAUGUUGGGUUAAGUCCCGCAACGAGCGCAACCCUUAUCCUUUGUUGCCAGCGGUCCGG